GCUGGCGGCGCGCUUACACAUGCAAGUCGAGCGAGAAAGGGGAGCAAUCCCUGAGUACAGCGGCGUACGGGUGAGUAACACGUGGGUAAUCUACCUUCGAGUGGGGGAUAACCCUGGGAAACCGGGGCUAAUACCGCAUGAGCCUGAGAAGGGAAAGCAGCAAUGCGCUGGAAGAGGAGCCCGCGGCCGAUUAGCUAGUUGGUGAGGUAACGGCCCACCAAGGCGAUGAUCGGUAGCCGGCCUGAGAGGGCACACGGCCACACUGGCACUGAAACACGGGCCAGACUCCUACGGGAGGCAGCAGUGGGGAAUCUUGCACAAUGGAGGCAACUCUGAUGCAGCGACGCCGCGUGAGCGAUGAAGCCCUUCGGGGUGUAAAGCUCUUUCGGCAGGGACGAUAAUGACGGUACCUGAAGAAGAAGCUGCGGCUAACUACGUGCCAGCAGCCGCGGUAAUACGUAGGCAGCGAGCGUUGUUCGGAAUUACUGGGCGUAAAGAGUGUGUANGCGGUGCUCUAAGUUCGGUGUGAAAUCUCCUGGCUUAACUGGGAGGGUGCGCCGGAAACUGGAGUGCUC
rnacentral:rRNA from 1 species